GCGCCGCCCUUUCCGGGAGCUUCUGUGCACCAGGGUUCCAGAUGGCAUUUGGUGUUUUCCUCUGGUGUCAGACAUGUGUGCAGAGUGCAGUCUCUUCUGGCUUCCCAGGCGUGUCUGCCUCUCUGAAGGUUUAGCUCUCCCUCCCACGGGAAUUGGGGGCAGAGAACUGUUUAUCCGGUCUGUUUCCUUCAGGUUCGGGCGGUGUCUCAGGCAGGGAUCCUGCCGCUCCUGGGCCCUCCCCCACGGGAGCCCAGAGGCCUUAUACAGUUUCCUCCUGGGCCAGGGAUGUGGGCAGGGGUGGGCAGUGUUGGUGGUCUCUUCCGCUCUGCAGCCUCAGGAGUGCCCACCUGACCAG
rnacentral:lncRNA from 1 species